UGGGGAAUAUUGCACAAUGGGCGCAAGCCUGAUGCAGCCAUGCCGCGUGUAUGAAGAAGGCCUUCGGGUUGUAAAGUACUUUCAGUCGGGAGGAAGGUGGUAAGGUUAAUAACCUUGGCAAUUGACGUUACCGACAGAAGAAGCACCGGCUAACUCCGUGCCAGCAGCCGCGGUAAUACGGAGGGUGCAAGCGUUAAUCGGAAUUACUGGGCGUAAAGCGCACGCAGGCGGUUGAUUGAGUCAGAUGUGAAAUCCCCGGGCUUAACCCGGGAAUUGCAUCUGAUACUGGUCAGCUAGAGUCUUGUAGAGGGGGGUAGAAUUCCAUGUGUAGCGGUGAAAUGCGUAGAGAUGUGGAGGGAUACCGGUGGCGAAGGCGGCCCCCUGGACAAAGACUGACGCUCAGGUGCGAAAGCGUGGGGAGCAAACAGG
rnacentral:rRNA from 1 species